AUUGAACGCUGGCGGCAGGCCUAACACAUGCAAGUCGAACGGUAACAGGAAAAAGCUUGCUGCUUUGCUGACGCGUGUCGGACGGGUGUGUGAUGUCUGGGAAACUGCACGUUUGCGGGGGAUAACUCCUGGAAACAGUAACUCAUACCGCAUAUAGUCGCAACACCAAAAAGCGGGACAUUUGGGCAUCUUGCCCUAGGAUAUGACCAGAUGGGAUUAGCUCGUGGGUGGGGUAAAGGCUCACCUAGGCGACGAUCCCUAGCUGGUCUGAGAGGAUGACCAGCCACACUGGAACUGAGACACGGUCCAGACUCCUACGGGAGGCAGCAGUGGGGAAUAUUGCACAAUGGGCGCAAGCCUGAUGCAGCCAUGCCGCGUGGAUGAAGAAGGCCUUCGGGUUGUAAAGUACUUUCAUCGGGGAGGAAAAGAGGAAAGUUAAUACCUCGGCGCAUUGACGUUACCCGCAGAAGAAGCACCGGCUAACUCCGUG
rnacentral:rRNA from 1 species